GGGAAUGGGGUCCCAUAGACGGAUGAGACCCCCCGUGGGGGUGUGCGUGCGGCGCUCAUUAUGAGUCUCUUUGCGGCGAGUCGAGUAUUUCGGGAAUGGCGUCUCUAAAUGGGAGGUAAAUUCCAUCCAAGGCUAAAUAUCGCCCGGAGACCGAUAGCGCUCAAGUAGAGUGAUCGAAAGAUGAAAAGCACUUUGAAAAGAGGGUUAAACAGUACGUGAAAUUGUUGAAAGGGAAGCGCCCGCGACUAGACUUGUACCUGAUCGAUCGCUCUGCACUCGUAGCAGAGACUUCCCGUUCAUGGUUACAGGCCAGCAUCGGUUUGUGCUUGGGGGAAAAAAGCGGCGGAAAUGUGGCUCAUUUCACGAUGAGUGUUAUUAGUCCGUUGUAUGAUACCCUGACGCAGAUCGAGGCCCGCGCUUUCCGCACGGAUGCUGGCAUAAUGGUCGUUGACGACCCGUCUUGAAACCGGCCCAAGGAGUCGAGGUUUUCCGCGAGUGUGUGGGUGGUACACCCGCCCCCGAAAUGAAAGUGAAUGCAGGUGAGAGCUUCUUUUUAGCCCCCCCCUCGCCCGUUCCGAAUGUCUCGGAGGGGAUCGAGUAGGAGCGGAGGGCCUCGGACCCGAAAGAUGGUGAACUAUGCCUGCAUAGGGUGAAGCCAGAGGAAACUCUGGUGGAGGUUCGCAGCGGUUCUGACGUGCAAAUCGAUCGUCAAAUGUGGGCAUGGGGGCGAAAGACUAAUCGAUUCAUUCCAACCCUU
rnacentral:rRNA from 1 species